AACUCUCAAGCUUCUGCUUGGUAUUGAAGAUGGUUCCUUUGGGACCUCUUUAUAACUUGUAAGUGCGGGAUCUAAGAACCUCAAGCGUAGCAAGUCAUCGCUUAGUUGUUUCUUAGGUUUCUUGCCGGAAAAACAAUCCAUCAAUUCAA
rnacentral:misc_RNA from 1 species